rnacentral:rRNA from 1 species
AUUGAACGCUGGCGGCAGGCUUAACACAUGCAAGUCGAGUGGAGAUGAGGUGCUUGCACCUUAUCUUAGCGGCGGACGGGUGAGUAAUGCUUAGGAAUCUGCCUAUUAGUGGGGGACAACAUUCCGAAAGGAAUGCUAAUACCGCAUACGUCCUACGGGAGAAAGCAGGGGAUCUUCGGACCUUGCGCUAAUAGAUGAGCCUAAGUCGGAUUAGCUAGUUGGUGGGGUAAAGGCCUACCAAGGCGACGAUCUGUAGCGGGUCUGAGAGGAUGAUCCGCCACACUGGGACUGAGACACGGCCCAGACUCCUACGGGAGGCAGCAGUGGGGAAUAUUGGACAAUGGGGGAAAACCUGAUCCAGCCAUGCCGCGUGUGUGAAGAAGGCCUUAUGGUUGUAAAGCACUUUAAGCGAGGAGGAGGCUACUGAGACUAAUACUCUUGGAUAGUGGACGUUACUCGCAGAAUAAGCACCGGCUAACUCUGUGCCAGCAGCCGCCGCAGUAA